GAUGAACGCUGGCGGCGUGCCUAAUACAUGCAAGUCGAGCGAACAGAUAAGGAGCUUGCUCCUUUGACGUUAGCGGCGGACGGGUGAGUAACACGUGGGUAACCUACCUAUAAGACUGGGAUAACUUCGGGAAACCGGAGCUAAUACCGGAUAAUAUUUCGAACCGCAUGGUUCGAUAGUGAAAGAUGGUUUUGCUAUCACUUAUAGAUGGACCCGCGCCGUAUUAGCUAGUUGGUAAGGUAACGGCUUACCAAGGCGACGAUACGUAGCCGACCUGAGAGGGUGAUCGGCCACACUGGAACUGAGACACGGUGCAGACUCCUACGAGAGGCAGCAGUAGGGAAUCUUCCGCAAUGGGCGAAAGCCUGACGGAGCAACGCCGCGUGAGUGAUGAAGGUCUUCGGAUCGUAAAACUCUGUUAUUAGGGAAGAACAUACGUGUAAGUAACUGUGCACGUCUUGACGGUACCUAAUCAGAAAGCCACGGCUAACUACGUG
rnacentral:rRNA from 1 species